UACGUAGGGCGCAAGCGUUGUCCGGAAUUAUUGGGCGUAAAGAGCUCGUAGGCGGCCUGUCGCGUCUGCUGUGAAAUCCCGGGGCUUAACCCCGGGCGUGCAGUGGAUACGGGCUGGCUGGAGGCAGGCAGGGGAGAACGGAAUUCCCGGUGUAGCGGUGAAAUGCGCAGAUAUCGGGAGGAACACCGGUGGCGAAGGCGGUUCUCUGGGACGGUACUGACGCUGAGACGCGAAAGCGUGGGGAGCGAACAGG
rnacentral:rRNA from 1 species